AGAAGGAAAAUGUUUGGAGUGGAAUUGUUUGGAAGACAAUCUUGGGACAAUUUUGCUCUUUGGGUCUUUGUGCCAACCAUGCCAGCUAUCGUAGGGUGCUCUGGGAACAUCUUAGAUCUGUUUACUGUAUGUACACUUACUGAAAUAAGCAUUUUGUUUACAUAAAAUCCCUUGUCAUUUCACCACUAGGUUUGAAACCCAGACAGCACGAAGCAUCUUGCCGACGUCAAAAUCAGAUCAACAGACAGGGACAUCAGCCUUCUCUUGGGAAUAGGCCAGAUAUGCCAUAACAAGAAAUGGUGUUUUGCCCCUGCGGUUGUGAAGAGGAUGCUGUGGAGGUGGCAGCAUGAACGUGUCACACAGACAUUGGCUAAACUACUCGGCUUCUACACUUGCCCUCAGAGUUCACAUAUGGUGACGUGCACAGGUGUCCAGUCAGGUUCAGACUGAUGCUGGUAACAAGAGGAGAACAUGCUAAUUGAUGCUGUGUUGCUGCCAGUCCACGGAUGUACACGAAUGGCUCACCUGGAGGAGGAGGGCGGUCAACGACAUUACUCAAGUAUUGACAACAAAUGUGCUCUACGAAAUAUGAUGGAUCACAGACCCGACUCAGAACUGAACUCAUUUCAGCUGGCGGCUAACUGGUCUCAUAGGAGUCCAUGUUAACUGCUAGCUCGGAGGUAAAAUUUGCACUGCCGUUCUCAGAGAACGGUUGAAAGUACAGGAGAAAGGUAAAAGUCAGUUAUUUAACUCAAGGGGAUGUGUAAUAUGAGCUUAUUUCCAAAAAUGGGACAGUAUCACUUUUAAAUGGUCAAUGGCAAGGUCCCAAGAUGUUCUGUCACUGUAAUCAGAGACAUUUGAAGCCAAAUUGAUAAAGGAUACCGUUUUUUCUCAUUAAUACUAUUACUCCGAGGCUGUACGUUGUUCCAAAAUCCAGAAAAAGUUUUUGAAGUGCUUGUUUGUGUGUUUGUUUUUCAUGAUUCCAUAUUUUUUUCCUCAGAGCUGAGUCAUUCCAUAUUUUUUUUCCCUAUGCAUGCUCUAAAAAAGUAAC